GUCCACACCGUAAACGCUGUCUACUAGCUGUUUGUGAUUUUAAAUCGUGAGUAGCGAAGCUAACGCGCUAAGUAGACCGCCUGGGGAGUACGGCCGCAAGGUUAAAACUCAAAUGAAUUGACGGGGGCCCGCACAAGCGGUGGAGCAUGUGGUUUAAUUCGAUGCAACGCGAAGAACCUUACCUACACUUGACAUGCAGAGAACUUUCUAGAGAUAGAUUGGUGCCUUCGGGAACUCUGACACAGGUGCUGCAUGGCU
rnacentral:rRNA from 1 species